CAACAGAGUGAGACUCCACCUCAAAAAAUAAAUAAUUAAUAAAAUAAAAUAGAUAAAAUGGUGUAAUGAUCCUUUGAAGGAAUAGAUUAGACAUAUAAGAGGCUUGAUUCAGGUUCUGGAACUCAGUAGGUAGAAGCCUCCAUGCCUAUCCAUGCAUGUUUGCGUGUUUGCAUGUGUGUACAUGCACAUUUGCACAUGAUUGUCCACGUUCACGUGUGUGCAUGUGUAUGUGUGUGACAUUCAUCUCCUCCACUGCUGUUGGAGUCCCUCCCAGCACCCAAUGUGGCCAGGGACACUGACGGCCUUUUCUGGGGUCUUUUGCCAGAUUGCCAAGGAAUCAUCGAGGACGUCAUCCUGCUGGGUGCGCCUGUGGAGGGAGAAGCCAAGCAUUGGGAGCCUUUCCGGAAGGUGGUGUCCGGGAGGAUCAUCAACGGCUACUGCAGGGGAGACUGGCUGCUGAGUUUCGUGUACCGCACAUCCUCGGUGCAGCUCCGUGUCGCCGG
rnacentral:lncRNA from 10 species